GAAGUAUGGCGAUCAAGUAAAAGCUGCUAACUUUUUUCUUUUAAUGGUUAAAUUCCAUUU
rnacentral:tRNA from 1 species